CGGGCCGCCUCUCACCUGUGUCGAGGUUGAAGGAGAUGCGGGCCUCGGCGAGGUAGGGGGUGUCGCUCUUGGAGCGGACGCGGCGGAUGGGUCUGCGGUCGAUGUCCUCCUCGGAAGAUGCCGCCAUUAAUGUGGGCACGCUUUUCUACGUAGGACUUUUCUUCACUGCUCAAUGGGAGAGAGAAUGACAGUGUGCUAGAAAUUGAGAAGAAGCCUCAUCCAUUCAAAGAUGCUGCUCCUGACCUUUUGUUCAGCAGAGAGAGAAUAUAAAGCAACGUCUACAAAACUUCUGCAUUUGGAAGCAACACAAUGUACUGAAAAGCCUGGAGACCAAAUAUGAAGACAAAAAUCUGCAAAACGUGGCUGCUGCUUUGGCCUGAUGGAUUUCAUUGCUGCACUUUUGUCCUCUUCCUAUGGGUGAGCCACUCCACCUGGCCCCAGGAUGCCAGGCCAUGCAGAAGAUGUAGAUGUGGCUUCUCAGUAUGCAGAAAGCUUUGCCUCUGACUUGGCUGGAUUCUCUUUGCAACAAAGAGUCUCUACAAGAGAGAAAACUUACCAUGACUGAGUAGAGCUUAUUACAGACAGCUUGAUGGCAUCUCCAGAUGCUGAGAUGAAAUGAUGCAGAGGAGGAUAGAUUAUCUGAUGCACUGAUCCCAACUGGUCCCAAAGGAGAAAGUUGUUCUAUCUUAUGAGGACUUUACUGUGUUGCUCUCUACUCCCUCAAGAGUUGUGUCUGCCUAUGAGCAGUGUGCAAAUAAAAAGCACCAUUUACAGAAAGGAUCCUUCUUUUAGCUCUGCAGCAGCUGCAAAUCCUGAGAGUGAUCUUGUUCACUUCUUAGACACCAGAAAAACCUUUGUGGCAGAACUAUCAUAAAGCUUUAUGUUCAUAUAGCACCUCUAGAACAGCUUCUCAGGACAGACCUGUGUGUGGUUUCCUAAUAAAAAUAAUGAGUGAAUAAUCAUUGACAGUAUACAUGCAACUUUGCUUUCCAAAGCAUGGAGCCACAAGACAGAGUUUAUCAAUCAAGGACGACAAAGCAAUUAUGAGCAGUCCCUGGAGAAUUAAUCCUUCAAGAAUGCAUGAAAUCAAUCUGGCAGCCUCUGAAAUACACAGUCCAGUUGCUUAUGUCCAUACAAAUAUUCACCCUCUUACCAUGGAGGCACUAAGGAGUGCAGAUUAAAAGGAUUGUUUCAGGAUUGAAACAGUCACUCUGCAGCAAGAAGCCAAAUAAAGACUGAUAAUUAUUUUAUCUGUGCUGAACAACAUUGUUAGCAAAUUGCACAUUAUUAUGACAAAAUACCAUCAACAACAUGACAAUCUCCUGUUGUAUGCUGGGGCAUUUGGCACACAGCGCUGCCGAGUCAAAUGUUUGUUCCCUUUCUGAUGAAUGGUGUUUGUUUUUUGUCUGUUG